rnacentral:tRNA from 1 species
ACAUUGGUGGUUCAGUGGUAGAACUCUCACUUUCCAUGCAGGAGACCUGAGUUUGACUCCCAGCGAAUGCA